UAAUACAGAGGUGGCGAGCGUUAUUCGGAAUUAUUGGGCGUAAAGGGCGCGUAGGCGGCCCUGUAAGUCAACGGUGAAAUCCCUCGGCUCAACCGAGGACGUGCCGUUGAUACUGCAGGGCUCGAGGCCGGGAGAGGGUAGUGGAAUUCCCAGUGUAGCGGUGAAAUGCGUAGAUAUUGGGAGGAACACCGGUGGCGAAGGCGGCUACCUGGACCGGUUCUGACGCUGAGGCGCGAAAGCGUGGGGAGCAAACAGGAUUAGAUACCCUGGUAGUCCACGCUGUAAACGAUGGGUGCUCGGUGUCGCGGGUAUCGACCCCUGCGGUGCCUUAGCUAACGCGUUAAGCACCCCGCCUGGGGAGUACGGUCGCAAGACUG
rnacentral:rRNA from 1 species